AUCAUCGAUUCAAUGAGGUAUCUUCAGAAUUGCUUACUUGCUUUGCAUGUCUUGAUCCAAGGGAAUCAUUUUCUAAGUUUGAUGUGAAUAAGCUUGCUCGCCUCACGAAGAUAUAUUUAGAUGACUUCUCUUUUGAUGAUCGAAAAAAAUAAAAGAUCAAUUACAGACCUUUCUUAUCCAUGUAAGGAGAAUUGAGGAGUUCAGAGUUUGUCAAGAUUUUGCAAGCCUAGCACUAAAAAUGGUUGAGCUCAACAGACAUACGAUGUUCCCAUUGGUUUAUCGCCUAAUUGAGUUGGCAUUGCUACUACCAAUAGCGACCGCAUCGGUUGAAAGGGCUUUUUCAGCCAUGAAGAUAAUUAAAACUGAGUUGCGGAACAAGAUGUCUGAUGGUUGGCUUAAUGACUUAAUGAUUGUGUAUAUUGAGAGGGAGAUAUUUAAAGGAAUUGAUCUUCAAUCUAUCAAAAAGGCAUUUCAAGUGAAGAAAGAUAGGAAUAUGAAAUUGCCGAAGCAUCCUAAACGCAACCGGACUGAACGCAACUAAUAAAUUUAUCGCUUAUUUUGGUCCCGUUGUUGAUUUGAUGUGUAAUCUACAUGUUUUUCUUCAUUUAAGGUACUUCUAAACGAUGGUCUUGUUGUGAACUUUUAUUUCCGUACAAUAUAUGAAUGUAGUCUAGAAA